UAGCUUCACUAUACAGCGCAGGGAUUGGCUACGUUCAUGGUUUUCCCCUCACUGGGCGGGACUACACUACUUAAACAGCUUGGUCACAGGAUGUGGAUCGUAACGCGUGGGUUAGUUUUUGGUUUGCUGGGCAGCAUUGGAGUCGGUAGAGCAAUGUGUGCGCAAGUGGGUGACUGGAAGACAGCCAAAUCUAUCUAUGAGUUUGGUGCCAAGGACAUAGAUGGUGAAGAUGUGUCCCUAGAGAAAUACAGUGGGUUUGUCUGCAUCAUCACCAACGUUGCCUCUAAAUGAGGUAAGACCAGGGUAAACUACACUCAGCUAGCGGGAAUGCACGCCUCCUACGCUGACAAAGGUUUACGCAUCCUGGGCUUCCCCUGCAACCAGUUUGGAGGGCAGGAGCCAGGUACAGAGGUGGAAAUCAAGGAGUUUGUCAAACAAUUUGACGUUCAGUUUGACAUGUUCAGCAAGAUUGAUGUGAACGGAGACAGCGCUCACCCUCUCUUUAAGUGGCUGAAGGAACAGCCCAAGGGAAAGGGUACUCUGGGAAAUAACAUCAAAUGGAAUUUCACAAAGUUCCUGAUCAACAGAGAAGGGCAGGUGGUGAAGAGAUACGGGCCAAUGGAUGACCCCAUUGUGAUCGAGAAGGACCUUCCUAAAUACCUGUGAUGUCUCUGUGAUUUCUGAGCCCUUGUCCAUCCUGCUGGCUGAUCUCUCCUUUGGGAUUGUGGGUAUAAGUGGCUGUGUCCUGGACCAGUGACGGCCUGUCUGUAAACCCGUCCGGCGGAGAGGACAGGCCUGAUGAAACCUAGCGUGCAAAACCCCCAGGAACCACCCACCCAUACCCAGUUAGAACACAGGAGAGGACUCUAGCUACAGCAGUUUGUGUAUAUUUAAAACACUGCACUCCCAAGCAUAAUACCCCAACAAAUGAGACCUAUUGCAUCCCCAUAGUACUGAUAUGAAUGUCCAACUGUCCCUGCUUCCUAUAAAUUUGAACUUUGUCUGUACCAGUGUUAGUAAAACAAACAAAAAAUAUUUGAAGCUAUUUAUAUGGAGGAAUAAACGGGCAAAGCUA